rnacentral:misc_RNA from 1 species
UACGGAGGUGGCAAGCGUUACUCGGAAUUAUUGGGUGUAAAGGGCAAGUAGGCGGUCUAGUAUGUGAGGGGUGAAAUCUCCCGACUCAAUCGGGAAACUGCCUUUCAAACUGCUAGACUUGAGGUAGGAAGAGGGAAAUGGAAUUCCCAGUGUAAGGGUGAAAUCUGUAGAUAUUGGGAAGAACACCAACGGCGAAGGCAAUUUCCUGGUCCUGUCCUGACGCUAAAUUGCGAAAGCUAGGGGAGCAAACAGA